rnacentral:lncRNA from 1 species
CUUUGUCCAUUUCUUGUGUUCUUUGAAAAAGUCCCCUUUUUUGGGAAAUUCCGAUAAAUGUGGAGAGAGGGUGGUUGAGGGUUGAUAGAAAGAGGGUGCUGAUCAUUAGCCGACAGAAGCUACGAGAACAUUGGCUUCGGCGACGAGUGAAUUCAGGUGGUUAAAUUUCACUUUGUUUUUUGUAAUGAAUUGCUCCUUUUUGCUUAAAUUUCUGGAUUUUUGCAAUUAAUAAGAAUUUAUGUAAUUAACUGCAACCGAAUGGAUCUCCUGUUAACUAGAAACAGCUCGCUCAUUCAUUAAUACACUUGAAAUUAAUUAUAUUGAAGAUUCCUAACUUCAAAAUCUGUAAUAAGAGAAAUGAACUGUUUGCAGUAAUAAAAUUUUACUUUGCUAGGGAAAAAAACCAUGCCUUCAUUACAUUGUACAUUUUAUUAAUUUUGGUUUCCGGGGAUUCCACCUAUUUACUCUUUGAUUUUUUAUUCUUCGGGGCUUUCUUGUUUACUGAGGAAAAUGUUGCGGUUAUUGAGAAAAUGGAAUUAUGAUGUGGUGGGUAUUGAGAAAAUGUUGAACUAAUUUUAUUUUCAAGUCUCUUUUACAGUUCAAAUUUUCUCUCUGCACUGAAGCCCACAUUGCAUAUUUGCAUUAUAUGAUGUGAAGAAAUUACGGUCCAUAAACAUAACCCGAAUAAUUUUGGUAAUUUAGGAUUGAAAUUUGCAGUUUUUGGUAAUUUACAUGGUAAUUUAGGUUUGAAAUUUGCAAAUUUUGAGAGGCUUAGCUUGGGUUUAUACUAACUAUUGGUGAGUGACUGGGGAAAUUGCUUUUUAAUUUUCUAUUUUAAUUAAUAGGAGUUGAAUAUUGUUGUUGUCUAAAUAGUGAUUAAUGGUUUGAUUGGUUUGCAGCUGGAGAGUCUUCCUGCUAUGAUUGCUGGGAUUUGGUCAAAUGAUAGCAAUUUGCAGCUAGAAGCAACUACUCAGUUUCGUAAGGGAUGGGAAUGAACUAGAAGAACAGCUGUUUAUGGCUAUCAACAAGCAGAAGAUGGAGAUGAUGUUAGAAGAACUUGAAGGUGAACAUGACGAGAUAAUGUUAAAUCUUUAUUCUUUACAUGUCUACAUUUUGAGGGAAAGUGUGUCAAAUUAUACAUCUUGGUACCUUCAAAAGAAAUAGAGCUGAAUAUUUAGAUGGGAGUAUUCGUUAUCUUUGUUGUUGUUCAAACCAAUCUAGAUGUUUUUUUACAUAUUUUGUUAGUUUGUUAUGGGGGACUAUGAAAGAAAUGCAAGAAUUGUAUUUUCGACAGCGUGAGCUAAAAUUGAACAAAGGCAAAAAUGUGUUUUCUCCAUCUAUGAUGCAAGCAUCAAAAUUACAGCUUUAGCCUCAAACCUGGCACAAAUUUAUCAAUCUUGUAGGCGUA